rnacentral:piRNA from 1 species
UGCAGUCUUGUGUUUAUUGAUGCUUC